rnacentral:sRNA from 1 species
GUUUAGCCACGAUUGAAAUGACAUCCUUUUUUUUAUUGAACUUAUUAUAGUGUCUUUUGCUAAUAUGCUAUUCGUUUUAAUAGAAGAGAUGCUGAACUAAAUGCAGCAUAAAAAAGAUAUAGUGGAAAGCGUGAAAUAGC